UGGGGAAUAUUGGACAAUGGGCGCAAGCCUGAUCCAGCAAUGCCGCGUGUGUGAAGAAGGCCUUCGGGUUGUAAAGCACUUUUAUCAGGAGCGAAACGCUGUCGGCUAAUACCCGGCGGAACUGACGGUACCUGAGGAAUAAGCACCGGCUAACUUCGUGCCAGCAGCCGCGGUAAUACGAAGGGUGCAAGCGUUAAUCGGAAUUACUGGGCGUAAAGCGUGCGUAGGCGGUGACUUAAGUCUGCUGUGAAAUCCCCGGGCUCAACCUGGGAAGGGCAGUGGAUACUGGGUCGCUAGAGUGUGAUAGAGGAUGGUGGAAUUCCCGGUGUAGCGGUGAAAUGCGUAGAGAUCGGGAGGAACAUCAGUGGCGAAGGCGGCCAUCUGGAUCAACACUGACGCUGAGGCACGAAAGCGUGGGGAGCAAACA
rnacentral:rRNA from 1 species